AUGGAGGAAAUGUACGUUACGUUUUAAGAUCGCACCUUCCAAUAGACUGGUAUGGAAUGAAGCGAUGGGAGCAGUUGAUAGAUGAAGAUUCGAACAUCUAUAUACAUUGUUGUUGGCUUAUGUAAUCAUAGGAUGCCAUUUUAGGAUGGAGGAAAUGUACGUUAUGUUUUAAGAUCCCACAUUCCAAUAGACUGGCAUGGAAGGAAACAAUGGGAGCAGUUGAUAGAUGAAGAUUCUAACAUCUAUAUACAUUGUUGUUGGCUUAUGUAAUCAUAGGAUGCCAUUUUAGGAUGGAGGAAAUGUACGUUACGUUUUAAGAUCGCACAUUCCAAUAGACUGGCAUGGAAUGAAAGGAUGGGAGCAGUUGAUAGAUGAAGAUUCUAACAUCUAUAUACAUGGUUGUUGGCUUAUGUAAUCAUAGGAUUCCAUUUUAGGGUGAGUUUGUGUCUGUACUUGUCCAAUUAGGUUAUUCUUUGAUGUCUUUCUAAACUGGUGGAUAUGCAGUGUAACAGUGGAUGAAGGAUCAUUUAUGGAGUAACCAAUUGAACAUUUCUUGUAGAUCACGGUCGAUUUGUCUGUAUUUUUUGUGUUUUAAGGAUAUAUAAGAGUGGUGUUUAUUUUCAGAUGGAGGAAAUGUACGUUAUGUUUUAAGAUCCCACAUUCCAAUAGAUUGGCAUGGAAGGAAACAAUGGGAGCAGUUGAUAGAUGAAGAUUCUAACAUCUAUAUACAUUGUUGUUGGCUUAUGUAAUCAUAGGAUGCCAUUUUAGGAUGGAGGAAAUGUACGUUAUGUUUUAAGAUCGCACAUUCCAAUAGACUGGAAUGGGAUGAAACGAUGGAAGCAGUUGAUAGAUGAAGAUUCUAACAUCUAUAUACAUGGUUGUUGGCUUAUGUAAUCAUAGGAUGCCAUUUUAGGGUGAGUUUG